rnacentral:rRNA from 1 species
CAGUAGCCACGGUAACACGGAGGGUGCAAGCGUUAAUCGGAAUUACUGGGCGUAAAGCGCACGCAGGCGGUCUGACAAGUCAGAUGUGAAAUCCCCGGGCUUAACCUGGGAACUGCAUUUGAAACUGUCAGGCUGGAGUCUUGUAGAGGGGGGUAGAAUUCCAGGUGUAGCGGUGAAAUGCGUAGAGAUCUGGAGGAAUACCGGUGGCGAAGGCGGCCCCCUGGACAAAGACUGACGCUCAGGUGCGAAAGCGUGGGGAGCAAACAGGAUUAGAUACCCGCGUAGUUCCUGUCUCUUAUAC